UCUCGUGAUUCCAUGGCUAGGCAAGGUGGUUCCUCACUGCUCCGCCUUGAGUCAUUCAGGUGGCUGCCUUGUGCUAGAGGUCAGCUGGAAUGUCAAAGAUGGCAGUUGCUGCUUGCUGUCAGUUAGGUCACUCAGGUCACCAUGUGACCUUUACUUCUUCAGUAGGCUAGACUGGCUUUCUUACCUGGAAGUGUCAGGGCAGUAUUCCAAGAUCACAAAGGCAGAAGCUGCAAGACCUCUUAAGGUCUGGACACCUGAACUCACACAUCACUUCUGCUACGUUCUAAGUCACAAGGCCAGCCCAUCUGCAAAGGAGCAGAAAAAUAAACUCCACCUCUGGAAGGGAGAAGCAGCAAAAUCAUAUUGCAAAGAGGCAUGCUUCCUGGGAUGGGAGGAAUUUGAGGUCAUUAACCAUCUACCACACAAGAUGUACAAAGGAAAUGAGGCGGUGAAGGAAAGAGUUCUGCAUGCUGUGUUAUUUUCUGAGAAGACAGAGAUUGUGGAGAAAGGAAUCACAAUUUAGCCAGUGUACUAGCGAACACUGAAGCAGGGCGUCAGGCUGCAGGUCCUUCAGUGGCACCUCCUCCCCCAUGCAUCAAAUUUUCUGUGCCCAUCACGCAGCUGAUGUGUGGACAACAGUCCCCCUGGGCAGUCAAUUGGAAGCCAAAGCUGUGAAUUAUAACCGUAGCCUAAUUAGUGCUCUGCCGUUGGACCUACUGAAUAUCAGAUACCAAGACUAAAGGAACAUUAAGAAACUAAAGUUCAAGGAGAUCAUCAACUUGCCCAAAGUCAUGUAACCAGGCGGGACAGGGAUUCGAAGCCAGUUCUCUCUGCAUCCAUAGCCAGUGUUUUGUUAAAACGAUCUGCUUAUAUAUGGUGGAUUGUGUUUAUUUUCUUAUCAUUAAAUUGGAAGCUAGAAGUGGAAAGUGACUAUUUCUCUUUGGAGGAGGCAUAUGUUCCAAAUAUUUAUUGAUGCAAAACAAACCGGCCUGAUCUUAGUGGUGCAAAACAAUAACCAUUUUAUUGCUCACAGAUUGUGUUUCAAGAAUUCAGAUAGGACACAGAAAAGAAGACAUCUUUGAGUCCUCAACUGGGAAAAUUCAAAGAAAGAUGAUUUGAUAGCUGGGGAGUGGAUUCAUCUCAAGGCUGGUCUAUUCACAUGUCUGGUGGUUGAUGUUGACUAUUUCUUGGGACCUUAGCUGGAGCUCUUGGCCAGAACACCUAGAUGAAGCAUCACCAUGUGGUAUCUCCACAUUGCUUAGAUUGGAUUUCCUCCUAGCACGGUGGCAGAGUUUGAAGAAAGAACAUUCUCAAAACAAACAAACAAACAAACAAAAACACCAACGUGGACAUUCAUGGCAUAUUUAUGACCUAACCUUGGAAAUCUUAAAGAUUUCAGUGUACUCUGGUUUCAACAUCCUCUCUUGGUAGAAGUGCUCACAAAUAUUAGCCAAGGUUCAAGGACAGGGGACUUAGACCUCAUCACUAGAUGUCAUGUUGUAAGAAGAGCAUGUGAGAUGAGAUAUAUUGCAGUGUCCCUCUUUGGAAAAUGCAAUCUGUCUCAGCAUACAUUCACAUCAUAGCUCCUGGCAAUGGCAAAUGUAAUAUUGUUGAUCUCUUGAAUCCCUUAGUUUUGCCAAAGGAUGUUUUAAAAAUGUUUCUAAAGCCUUUAUUUAGAAUGAUGAAAGUAAUAGAUAUUCAUUAAGGGAAGGUUGAAAAAUAAGCAAAAGUAAUAAAGUCGAACUACAUGCCAUGAUUUAUUUGACAAUUCUCUAACUUCUAAGGACUUUUUUUCAUUUGUUGCUUAUUUUAGAUAAUGCUACAAUAAACAUUUUUUCAUAAAUUUGACUACAUCUUGAUUUUCAAAAUAUAUAUUUCUAGAAGUGCAAUUAUGUCAACAAUGGAGUUGAUAAUCAUUGUGCAGAAAAGUAGCCUUCAACCAUAGUCAAAGCAUAUUUUCAUUGACUAACAAUUUGUUGGCAGUAAUAUAGGCAUCUUACCUUGGACAUUCAAGACAAACAGUUUUAAUGCUUGUUGUUGUUACAAAUCUCAGAGUUGUCAAAGGACAGUCCUGAGAGUAGGAAUAGAUAAAGGUACCUCUUUACUAUGUAACUAAUCAUUCCUGAAGACACCAGUGACAGCUACAUGGGAAAGACACCAUUGGCCCAAAGGAAUGAUUAAACACUAACUCUGCAGCAUAGCAUCCCUUAACCCAAUUCUGAAUUGACUGUUAACUAAAGAGCUGUUUUUAAAAAUACUAUUUAAAUCUCAUUAUUUGAGCAUUGUGGAAAAUAAAA
ensembl:lncRNA